rnacentral:lncRNA from 1 species
AAUAGGACUCCUAGACUAAUACUAAUACUUCCUAACAAAAAAUACAUCUGAGAACACAUGCGCUGGCAUGAUAACUUCUAGAUGCAUUUUAGCAAACACCAAACUAAACUUAACUAGAUACUAGGAUGCAAAGAGCCAGAACCUAAUGAGGGGGGUUCCUUCCAACACUAACGAGGGGGGUUCCUUCCAACACGCACAGAGAACCUAACGAGGGGGUUCCUUCCAACACGCACAGAGAACCUAACGAGGGGGGUUCCUUCCAACACGCACAGACGAUGUACACACAAAGAGGCUCAAGCCAAGGACUACACGUCCAGAUGAGCUCCGCCUCAGUGUCAUAUCGUCCUGCUCUCAACCCUGCUGCUACUGCCUGCCCAAGCCAAGACCCGGCCCUAUCAUCUGCCCUUGCAUUGCAACCAUCACGGCACCUUCACGUUGCAUCUCUUGGAUGAGCUGCUCAAGUCUGGGAG